UACGUAGGAUGCAAGCGUUGUCCGGAUUUACUGGGCGUAAAGCGCGCGCAGGCGGCACUCUAAGUACGCUGUGAAAUAUCCCGGCUCAACCGGGAGGGUGCAGUGUAGACUAGGGAGCUAGAGGUCGGUAGAGGGGGGUGGAAUUGCUGGUGUAGCGGUGAAAUGCGUAGAGAUCAGCAGGAACACCCGUGGCGAAGGCGGCCCCCUGGGCCGUACCUGACGCUAAGGCGCGAAGGCUAGGGGAGCGAACGGG
rnacentral:rRNA from 1 species